UACGUAGGGGGCAAGCGUUGUCCGGAAUCAUUGGGCGUAAAGAGCGCGUAGGCGGCCCUGUAAGUCCGCUGUGAAAGUCAAGGGCUCAACCCUUGGAUGCCGGUGGAUACUGCAGGGCUAGAGUCCGGAAGAGGCGAGUGGAAUUCCUGGUGUAGCGGUGAAAUGCGCAGAUAUCAGGAGGAACACCGAUGGCGAAGGCAGCUCGCUGGGACGGUACUGACGCUGAGGCGCGAAAGCGUGGGAAGCAAACAGG
rnacentral:rRNA from 1 species